GGAGGGGUGGCAGAGUGGCCGAAUGCACCGGUCUUGAAAACCGGCGAUAUGCAAGUAUCCGUGGGUUCAAAUCCCACCCCCUCCGCCA
rnacentral:tRNA from 1 species